rnacentral:rRNA from 1 species
AGCGAACGCUGGCGGCAGGCUUAACACAUGCAAGUCGAGCGGACCUUUCGGGGUCAGCGGCGGACGGGUGAGUAACGCGUGGGAACGUGCCUUCCGGUUCGGAAUAACCCUGGGAAACUAGGGCUAAUACCGGAUACGCCCUUAUGGGGAAAGGUUUACUGCCGGAAGAUCGGCCCGCGUCUGAUUAGCUAGUUGGUGGGGUAACGGCCUACCAAGGCGACGAUCAGUAGCUGGUCUGAGAGGAUGAUCAGCCACACUGGGACUGAGACACGGCCCAGACUCCUCGGGGAGGGGGCAGGGGGGGAUAUAGGAAAAGGGCCGCAGGCCUGAACCACCCAGGCCGGGAGAGUGAUGAAGGCUUGGGGGUUAAAAAGCUUUUUUACCCGGGACGAUAAUGACGGUACCGAAGAAAAAAGCCCCGGCUAACUUCGUG